UUAGACGCUGAGAUAGCAGCACACCCGACAAGGUUUAAGUUUAAACCUUGUCGGGUGUGCUGCUAUCUCAGCGUCUAAGUUUAAACCU
rnacentral:pre_miRNA from 1 species